ensembl:rRNA 5S_rRNA 5S ribosomal RNA
GCUUACGGCCAUACCACCCUGAGAACGCCCGAUCUCGUCUGAUCUCGGAAGCUAAGCAGGGUCGGGCCUUGUUAGUACUUGGAUGGGAGACCGCCUGGGAAUACCAGGUGCUGUAAGCU